UGCUCUCUAAGUCAAUUUAAUUCUUUAUAAAAACAAUAUGAGGUGAGUCUUACUAUUCAUCACUUACAUAUGCAGAAACUGAGGGUCAGGGAGGUGAAAUGACCUGUCCGAAAGUCACUUAACUAGCAAAUGAUGGCUUUGUUUCAACUCCAUCAUCUGAUCAGGCAGAGGUGAAAGAGAACAAUGCAAUGUGUGCUUUUGGGUAGUGGGUACUGUUCGGUUUGGCAGGACUGUGGGAUACAUGCAAGGCGGAGGGGCCCUUGAGUGCUAAGGCAGAGAGUUGGAGUCUAUCAGGUAGGCAGUGAGAGGAAGGUUUCUGCAUCAUAGAGGGCACUGGUGGAGCCAUGCCUCAGAAACAUUGAUCCGCUAUUGUCCUCUACGAUGAAGAGAAAUGAGGCACGCUGGAGGCCUGGAGACCAGUUGGAGGAGCAUUGUAUAAACUCUCAUAGGCCUGAAUGGGCAUGGGUGUUGGCAAUGGAAAAAGAAAAAAGUAUUCUAUCGAGUCUCCAGACGCCCAGGGAAUUGCUGAACGAAGUCUGAGUUCUCCCUAUGUAGAUAGCUCGUACUUUUCAUUAUAGGUUUCUCAAGAACUGGCUCCCAGAAAAAACCUGGAUGGAGAACAAAACAGUAGGACUAUCUGUGGACAAGAGGGAGAAGUGACACUGGGAAGUGUCCUCAUUAGCAGCAUCCAGGCAAGUAACAUAAAUGUAUGAGGGCACUCUGGGGGGGCACCAUGAAGAACAGGGCACAUGCUCCAUGUCAGGGGGGCCUCUCGGUUCUGGCUGAGGGGCCCAAAGUUGCAGGAUCUACUAUUUCAGCAGAAACCUCAUAGCCAAAUUUUUUGGGAAAGUCCUCAAUUUUACAACAUUGCAACCAGUUUCAACUUCUUAAUAUCACUGCGCUGGCCACAUUCAGCUCUUAAUUUGUUACCAGUUUGCCACCUCUAGGUUAAAUGUUAGUACCAUUUUAUCAAAACCUUUCCAAAUUUGAAAGCACAUCUUUAGUAAAACUAGCUACAGAGCAAGUUCAUUUGGAUUGCCGAGAGCUGGGAUAGAGAAGUCUGGGAGCCGGGCAGGGACUGUAGGGAGGCCCCUGGACCACGUGCUGGGCAUCCUGGUGCCUUAGCUUUGAAAGGGAGAUGGACGACAGCAGUGACAAUAUUUGCUGCAACCAGGCCCUCCUGGGCGACCACCCAGAGCUGGGCUUGGAGCCGAAGGAGGGAUGGGCAAGCUGUGCUGCUCCCAGCUCCAGUUGGCCCCUUCCCAUUAACAUUACAGGAGUGCAGUCGCGUGGUGUUUGAAAAAGCAUCCCUAGUUCCACGAAAUGAUUUACAGGACACCAGACUCUGCAUUUCAGAGGUCUCCGGUGUACCAUAAAAAAUAUAUUCUAAAGGAAUAAUCUUUAUCUGAGCUGAAGCUGCAGUGAAGGAAGCUCACAUCCAGCUGAGAGCAGCCGUGAGCUUCUGUUCACUCAGGGAAAAGUCUGUGUUCAUGUUAUUGGAGCAACAUUUUUUUCUCUCUUUGGCACUAGGUAUCUAGUUAAUAUUUAGACACUAUAUACAUUUUCUUUCAACUGUUGUCCCUGUUAUGUGAUCAAACAAAACCGGAGAUGCCAAGCACAUCAGCCCUGUAGGUGAAAGCAGACCCUCCAGGCACCCCGCUGUGGCUAGCAGGGUAAA